rnacentral:rRNA from 1 species
UUAGAACCGCGUCGGCGGACAUCGCCUUACACAUGACAAGUCGAAACGGUAACGAGGGAGUCUUGCUCCGCUGACGAGUGGACGAACGGGUGAGUAAUGUAUCGGAACGUACCAUUCAGGUGGGGAAGUAACGUAGACGAAAGUUACGCUAAUACCGCAUAUUCUGUGAGCAGGAAAGCAGGGGAUCGCAAGACCUUGCGCUGAUUGAGCGGCCGAUAUCAGAUUAGCUAGUUGGUGAGGUAAAGGCUCACCAAGGCGACGAUCUGUAGCGGGUCUGAGAGGAUGAUCCGCCACACUGGAACUGAGACACGGUCCAGACUCCUACGGGAGGCAGCAGUGGGGAAUUUUGGACAAUGGGGGCAACCCUGAUCCAGCCAUGCCGCGUGAGUGAAGAAGGCCUUCGGGUUGUAAAGCUCUUUCGGCCGGGAAAAAAUCGCAUCAGUUAAUACCUGGUGUGGAUGAUGGUACCGGAAUAAGAAGCACCGGCUAACUACGUG